GCAAAAAUAAACACACAUCAUUUACAGCACACUGAAGAUGAAACUCACUUUUGCAUAACAUGGGCAACUUCCUUCUACUUCACAUGUCAUUAACACUCACAUAUUAAACAGCUUUAUACUUUUCAAACAUCAAUGACACUUAAGCAAUAAAACAUCUUUGUAUCAUAAACUUUAUAUAAAAUAGUAAAGUGUGCGGGAGUACCAACCUUCAUAAUGAAAAGAAAAUAAAUCUAUAUGCAUGACCUUCCUGCAAGACAAUGCUCUGGGCGCUACAACCCACAGUACAAAAACAUUACCGUGACGUUUCUGCUAGCGCCUGCGCAGCCUGACCCCGCUGUCUCACACUGAUGCGGGUCAAACGCGGGGCUGUGCCCACAAGUGUUACAGGUGGGUGAGAACCAGAUGUAGGGUGGUGGCGAUGGCGUCAUCUGCUGACCGGUUGGUGUGAUCGGCAAACUGGCUUGGCUUAAAUUGCCUCCUGACAAGCCUGUCGAAUCCCUUUAUCAUGAUGGGGAUGAGUGUGUCACACAGUAGAAAUUUGUAUUUAUCUUUUAUAUUGGUUUUAUUCAGAUUUUUAGUGUUUAUUUAUGAGUGUAGUUUUUAUUUGCAUGAUUUUAUUCUGUCGUUUUAAUUCACUGUGAAUUGGCUGUGCAUGGGACAAAUUAGCUGAUAGGGAUCACCUGCAUAGGCAUCGGUGUGUCCAGAGGUGGCCUAUCAGCUGUCUAAAGACCUAUUAAAGGAAGCUAGCUGAGCACUGGAGGAGAGAGGCCCCAGACAUGAAGAGGAACGCAAGAAGGCCAGGUGAAAAAGAAGGACCCCGGCAUGCGUAACAUGGUGACCCAGUUCCAACAGCUAGAAGGGCGACAGCGGGAGAUGCUGCGUGCAAUCGACCACCAGGCAGAGGUGUACGUCUGCCUGCAUACGUGAGUAACGCUUUCCCCACUGUCGUAUGCCGGGUGCAGCCGUUUUGGGAAAGGGUUGCCAUGGCCAUAAGCCAGGGCCUCUUCCGGGACAAUUGUUCUGGCCCCUAUUUGUGUAUUUACAGGGCGCUGAUGCAAGGGGAGCCAUGGUGGCAUCGCACGAAUGACAGAAGAAUGCAUGCAUGCAGAAUGAGAGCUGUCCUUCUAACCCUCUGAAGUUCUGAUGAUACGACCAUUAUCUGGAGAGUGGAGAUGGGACAAAAAGAGGAAUACAGAGGUCUGAUUGACCGCUUCAUCACCUGCAGCUGAAUGUGGCCAAAACAAAGCUGUUGGUGGUGGAUUUUGGCAGGAAGAAAUCCCCACCCACCCCUGUCUGCAUUGGUGGGACCAAUAUGGAAAUAGUCACAUCCUACAAGUGGGAGUCCAACUAGAUGACAAGCUGGAGUGGUCUGCCAACACAGACGUUGCCUGCAAAAAGUGUCCUUCAACUUAGUCAGCAGGCUAUUGCAUCUGUUUUAUCAGUACUGCAAGCACUCUCCUUUUUGCUGUGGUGUGCUGGGGUUCAGGCAUCAAGGCAGAGGAUGCAAACAGACUAAAUAAACUCAUCAGGAAGGUCGAGUCUGUUUUCAGCAUGAAGCUCACCACCCUCAGUGACAGAUUUCUGGCAAAACUGCUAGCACUGUCACUAUAUAUGCAAAGUAUACUUACACACUUGUACACUUAGAAUAUCUGUAAUAUCCCAGAAACAUAAAUGUUAAUAUUUGUGUCUUUUUAUGUAUAUAUUUAUUUAUAUCUCUAUUUCUAUGCUUCAUUUUAUACAAUCACUUUGUUGUCUGUUGUAUGUAUGCAGCUAUGACGACUACAUUUCCCUCUAGGAUUGAUAAAGUUUCUCUGAUUCAAAUUUUUUUAUCCUCCCUUGUACAACUUUGGCCCUCUAGUUUUGGUAUAACCAUAUAUCAUCAUGUCUUUAUUCUCUCUCUUAUCUGUCUGUUUUACAUUUGUAUAGUUGUAAUUGUAUAAUUUGUAGGUUUAGAUUUGUUUUUAUUGUUAAAUCCUGCUACCAGGGAGUUGCUUCUAAUUUCAUUGAACAUUUGAGGUUUAAUGACAA